CGUCACAUCGAAUCUUGCAGCACUAGAGCAUUAAAUAUAGACGAAAAUAAAAACUAAUUAUACAAUUUGUAUGUAAAACGCUAGAUGAUUUUUUGAAUCUAGUUAGUCCAUGAUUGAAUAAUAAUUAUCAAAUAAAAAUAAAAAUGCUACAAUAUCGAAAACUAAAAAAAUUUCAAAACUAUUCAAGGCCUAAACAGCAGUGUCCCUAUCACCCCG
rnacentral:lncRNA from 1 species